rnacentral:rRNA from 1 species
GGCAGAUCAAGCCACUAUUCUGCUAGAGUUACUUGUGAUGGGGCUUGAAAGUACUAAUGGAGUAGAGAUAAAAUGCUUAGAUACCUUUUUUUAAAUGGCACUGGUAAAGGCGAAAGCAUCCCCUUAUGUGAUAACUGACGUUAAAGGACGAAGGCUUUGGGUCGUGAACAGGAUUAGAUACCCUGGUAGUCAAAGCAGAAAAUGAUGAGUGUCAUAGAUUGGUUUAAUCUAUAAAUGAAAGUGCAAGCACUCCACCUUAAGAGUAAUGUGGCAACACCGAAAUUGAAAUCAUUAGACCGUUUCUGAAACCAGUAGUGAAGUAUGUUGUUUAAUUUGAUGACCCGCAAAAAACCUUACCACAACUUGAAUAUUUAUAGAAGCGUUGCACGGCUGUCUUAAGUUAAUGUCGUGAGACUUUGGUUAGAUCCAUUAAAUUGACGUAAACCCUCGUUCUAUUUUUAUGUAAAACGGUUCACCGCWWGAUUG